CCCGGCGUAUGGUUCUGCCAAUUUUGCCAAGGUUGGGGUCGUGGGUUCGAAUCCCAUCGCCCGCUCCA
rnacentral:tRNA from 2 species